rnacentral:tRNA from 3 species
GGCCCGGUAGCUCAGCUGGAUAGAGCACCAGCCUCCGAAGCUGGGGGUCGUGCGUUCGAAUCGCACCCGGGUCACCA